ensembl:lncRNA
CUCCCAAAUCCCAGCAUUUUCCCUAUGAAGCCUCCCCUCCUCUUCUGAUCUGGAAAUCCAUGCUCCAACACCUUCACAGUUGAAACACAAUUCAUGCAUCAUAUGCUACCACGUGGUGGUGGUUCCAGCAUGGAUAUUUAUGGAUAUUUAUGCAUGCUCAACCACCUUAGUGGCCACUGUCCCUCAUUCUGAAUGCUGGAAGACAACCUGCUUCAUUUCUGAGAAGAAGGCUUUUUCUCUCCCCAGCUUAACAAGUACAUUCCCUUGCAGACAGAGCAAUGUCCUCAGGGACUGUGGUUUUUUAGAAGUGUGUCUAAACUGUCCAAGUGAACAUGUGGGAAAGACCAUAGCCCUCUAGCACUCAUCUGCUUGCCUCUUGCACUCAGUAUAUUUGGUUUGGAUAGGGGCCCUUGCACCAGAAAGCCUGAACCUGUUUCUGAAGAGCUGCUGGAACAUAUGCUGGGUAAUAUACAGCAGGAGGAUGAAUCUCAUAGGACAAGGAAAGCUUUUCCAGACUGGUGCUGAGGUGCUGCUACUGACACUGCUGAUGUCUAAACCUGGACCCUAAUGAUAUGGAUAGGGUAGUUUUAUUUAUUUAUCCAUUUACAUUGAUCUUUCAUAAAGACUGUUAAAAAAGCACAGGAGAUUGAAGAACACAGAAAAAAAAAAAAAAGGCAAUGUCCUGUGUAGGUGUAAAGCAAACCUUCUGCACUCUAUCCAGAUGACUCAGUCUUGCCCCACAAACUCCUUCCUCAGCCUAACCUCUGUGGGACUGUAGGAAUGCAGAACAGCCUACCUGCUUCUAACAAUCUCCUGGGUGCUUACAGUCUAAAAAUACCACACAGAAAUAAUGAUCCUUGGUACGGAGGAGGUAAAUCUGCAUCUCCGUGACUGUCUGGAGAGCACUCGAUGAUGGCUCACGUCACGAUUCCUUGUUACUGCAUCCCUAGCCAUCCCGCCAGCACUGCACGACCUCAGCACGGCGUCUUGGUCCAAGCUUAAAGCUUUGAACUCUUCAGCUCAGCCUUGCAGGCUCGUUGGCAGCCACAUGUUGUGGGAAUGAUGUAUUCUCUUGGCACUGGCCUUCGUGUUCCAUUGCUGGGGCAGCCAAAUAUGAAGACAGAUUUCGCAAGGUAGAAUGGAGGUACCAAGACUUGCUGUGUUGUCCCAACUCUGGUGAAUGAUAACCACAAAUUCUCGCUUAGGUUUUCUUGUGGUGAAGGUGAAAUUCAAAGAAUGGUGACCCGGGAAAUGAGACACACAAAGCUUGUUCUCGGAGAGGUUGUUAGGCACACCAUGAGAAGUAUUUGCUAUUAGUGGGCAUUAUGUACACGUUGAGCCCUCCUCUUUGUCAUACAAAGUAGCCCUGAAGGCACCUCACCCAAAGAUCAUUGUGUCAUUCCCACUCAUAGGUGUUUUGGAAAGGCUCUUAGCUACCAGGAGCUCUUGCAGCUUUCACAUCCCAGAGAUGUGAGCAACCCAGCCACGCAGAUGGCCCCAGGAUCAGUAUUGCUUUCACCCAGUGGGACCCGUGGGCUUCCCAAAAGUGAAAAGAUGGACAGAGCAGCUUGGGAAGUCUCAUGGCAGUUGACUGUCUACAAAAUCGAAGUGCAGAAGCUGCAGUACUUUUAUUUCACUGCAGGAAAUCCAAGACUCUAGGAAGACUUGUGGCAGUGGUGGGUUGAUGGUUGGACUAGAUGACCUUAGUGGUCGUUUCCAACUGUAAUGGUUCCACUGUUCUGUGAUUCUAAGACUGGCCCAAGCCAAGCCCUGGGAACUCCAGAUACACAACAGGGAAUUUUCAACCCUCCUUUUGUGCAUCUGCAAACCUAAGACUCGUGUCAUCAUCCUUCAGUAGACCAUCAGCUCUUCCAGAGUCUCAUUUACUCAGUUUCUGAAGCCUGGAGGAACUAGAAACCUUGACAUGCAGCAGAGAGCUAAAUUUAUCUGUGGCACCCUUGGCCACACAGAAGUCAUGCUGUGAAUCAGCUCUGGAGCUGGAAAUAAAGCUUCUUGUCUUCAGGCAGCCCAUAUGGCCACAUAACCUCAAAGCAAAAUUUCUUCAUUACCCAGACACUGAUAAUGCUGAGCAGCCCAUAUGGCAGGGCUGCCCAGGAGCAGUAGAGCUGGAAACCGUACAUCUCAAGCAAUAUUGGCAAGAAAACAAGAAAACAAAAUCAUCAAAGCAGGGAGAAGUGAACAGAAGAAAGAAACUUGUACAGAAAGAGGCAGACAAAGCACAUGUUGCACUGAGAAGUUGUACCACUGCACACACCAUUCCAGCUGUUCCCUGUGCUGAGGCACAUGGUGCAUAUGAUAAUCAUCACUGCUUCUUUUCUCUCCCUCCCCCAAUUAUAAACUGGGAACACUUGAAAAAAAGAAAUCAGUAUAUUGGAUCAAGCUUAGGGCUUGCCUGAUGCUGCGAGGCUGAAAUGAGGAGGAAUAACUGCUACAAAAGAAGGAGGACAGUCGUGCUGUGCAACUUGUAGAGCAGUGUGAACAAGGAUCACAAAGUCCUUCCUAUGUUGGAGGGUCGUAAUGAACCGUCAUGAGCUGUCAGCACCGUGGAAAAAACCAACAACUCCAAAACUAGAAAAAAUAUAUAUAUGAAAAAAGAAAAAAAAAAAAAAAAAAAAAAGGAAAGAACCAAAGUUCUGAAAACAACAACCAAACUCAUUGCUUUCAAGGAUAUUGUGGGUUAUUACCUCAAUCCUUUUUCAGCUGAGGAAGGUUUGAGGUAAUGACCUGAAACUUCCUGGAAAAGAUCCCAAAAAGCCCCAAAUGGAAACCACAUGCAACAUAUUAGGGACCCUCACUGCAUAAAGAAACAUUCGUUCAAGUAACAAGAACAUACAUUGAUCAACUACUCAUGUACCAGCUGGCAUGAAUGAUCAGCAAUGCAGAAGAACUGGGUGGGUGAGUAGCUGAUCUGUUAAGCUAUAGCAAGGAAGAUGUAAAAUAUAUAUUCUCUUUUAGGAAAUAGUUUCCUUAAUCACCAUCCUUGCAGCUGGGCCUGGGAUCUGCCUCUUUGUGGUAGCAAAAACCUGGAAGAGAUCCAUGGAACCUGCAUGAUGCCAAACGUUGCCUGUUUAUGAACCCAUGGAGCCCCAGCGCUGCUUGGUUGAUGCUGCAGUAUCAGUGAGAAAAUGGCUGAGAACUUUUUAUUGUUACCACAGGGAGAAAAGAGUUUUCUUCUUCUCCAUGUCCAGUUAAAAUAAUUUCCUUUUUUGUCAGUAACAAAAAAAGUGUGUUGUUUCCCCCUUCGACCCCCAGAAAUUCUAUAGUUCUGCAGGGAGAGGCAGAGCGGAUAAUGAUAAAAUAGCCAUUCUGGCCCAUCUCCAGGAAGGUAUUUCAGCUCUUGAUUUCCAGUGAAGUCAAAUGCACUCACGGAAGUGAAGGCAAGAUAAUAUUGAGUGGCUCCGGGCCUUUGGUGUUGCAAAGCCAUCUCGUCAUCUGGUGGAAAUCUUGAUGUGCUCUAUCAUGAGAUCAUGACUUGUUCAUUUGUGGAGUAUUGUUUCAUUUAACCCAGAUGAUGCAGUUCAGCCCAGGGCCCAGCAGUAUCCGUUCUUCUUCCAAAAUGAUGACAAAAUCCUACCACGAAAAGGUGCAAAUUAAUAGAAGACCUGGAGCAGUACGGGCAACUUGGGUGCACCACACGAGUAGGAAUGUGAACUGUGAUGAUUCAUCUACUGUUCUCCAAAUGGUUCUGAUCCAGAGCCCUCUAAUAUCCCAAACCAAGGCAGAGAAGAAGCCACUAGAAAACUAGUCUGCCUGAUAACGCAGCAAGAGGAAUCUUAUGGUGAAGGAAAGAACCUUCAUAUUUAACUUUCUCUUCCAACAGAGCCACAUUAGAUAGUGUAAGUUAAUGAGAGCUGAAUGAAGACUUUUGAAAUGUGAAGUCCAGACCACUGCCAACUCUCAUCACUUCAUUGUGCACAUAGAAUCGUUUGAGUUGGAAGGGAUCCUUAAAGGCCAUCUAGUCCAACUUCUCUGCAGUGAGCACCUAUAGCUUGAGCAGGCUGCUCAGAGCCUGGUCCAUCAUGUUUAUUCCUUUUCUUAAAGGCCUGCUUGCAGAAGCUGAGUAUCUGUGCCUUCAUUUCUCCCUCUUUUGGGAAAGAAAAAAUAAAAAUAAAAAGAAGAAAAAAAAGAAGAGUCUAUUUUAGCCCUUAUGCAUGUUGAAAGUGCUAGAAUACACGUCUUAUGUAUGUCUAAUUGUGCCAAAAUCAAGUAGUCAAAAGAAAAGAAUCCAGAAUACAUUAAUUCUCAUGAUUUCUAAUCCAGCCUCAGAAUUUAUGAGCCUACUGCUUCAUGAUUCAUCAUUUCUGCAUGAUUGGCAGUGAUGUGGUGGAAUAUAAGAAGCGGCUGAGAGGAAAAAAGGGGAAAGGCUAUAGAUGUUUGCCCUGGAUCUCCAUGGUGGGAUGGAAUAGACAAUUACUUACAGUAAGUCUUCUUCUGCACCUCAGUAUAGUAUUCAAAAUUGCCUUGCCUUUCCCUCUUGCCUGUCAAAGGUAUGAAGGCCAUGAUGAAUUAAAAGAAUUUGAAGACAUUUUCUGGAAAAUUUGGAGUCAAGAUAUUAUUCCACCUUUAAUAUUUUACUCUUUAAUUCCCAUCUCUUUUCAUGUGCCCUACAGAAGUUUUGCAACAGCUCCUUGGCCCAGUCAUUAAGAAGCACAAAAGAAGUGGAAGAUAAAAGGCAACUUCAUUUUUGUUUGCACAGGUUUCUUAAGAGAAGGAGGCUGCCAUCUGGGUGGAAAUCUGACAAAACAUCACAGGAGGGGUUGGGUCCAUCCGCCAAGCUGAACAACUGUGUGGAAACUAAAAGAAAACUGAACCAGCCCACUGGAAUAAAUUAUGGUGGCUGGCUUGGGGAGACAAUGACAAAAAGAAGUUCAGUUCUUUAUCUGGUGUUUCAACAUGAGGUCUCAUGCCAAAUAUAUCCAAAGCUCCAUUUUCAGGCUCUGUUGAGAGCUUCACCUGGGAUUUUUUGCAGGAGUCAUCGAAGAGGAGAAAUGGCACGUGAUAACUUUGUGACUCCAUAACGUGAUGUCUAAGGCUUCAGCCCAUCCUCUCACCAUGUCAUGGAAUCAUAGAAUUGCUCAGGUUGGAAAAGACCUUUAAGAUCAUCGAGUCCAACCACGACCUAACCAAACUACCCUAACUCUAACAACGCUCCGCUAAAUCAUGUCCCUGAGCACCACAUCCAAACGGUUUUUAAAGACAUCCAGGGAUGGUGACUCAACCACCUCCCUGGGGAGCCUAUUCCAGUGUUUCACAAUCCUUUCUGUAAAGAAGUGUUUCCUGAUGUCCAACCUAAACCUCCCUUUAGCACAACUUGAGGCCAUUUCUCCUCGUCCUGUCACCUGUCACCAGUGAGAAGAGACCAACCCUGUUUUCACUGUAAGCACCUUUCAGAUAUUGGAAGAGAUCAAUAAGGUCUCCCCUCAGCCUUCUCUUCCCCAGACUAAACAGCCCCAGUUCCUUCAGUUGCUCCUCGUAGGCCAUAUUCUCCAAGCCCUUCCCCAGCCUUGUUGCCCUUCUCUGGACCUGCUUCAGCACCUCCAUGUCCUUUCUGUACUGAGGUGCCCAAGACUCAACACAGUACUCGAGGUAUCAGAACAUCUCACCUCCUCUCUUACUACUGCAAUGUGUUUCAUCGGACUUAUGAGGUUUUUUCAUCAGUUAGGUCCUUCUGGAAUCUGAAUCCCCACCAAAAAAAAAAAAAAAAAAAAACCAACAACAACAAAACAACCCCACAAAAAACUCCCAAAACCAAAUGUCAAGCCAUUUGGUUUCCAGAUCUCUUCUACCUCAAAACGUCCUGCCAGCCCAUGACCCAACCCAUGACCUCCUUGCCCUUGGUUCUCAAGGCUACAGCAGCAUCCAACUUCUCAUUUCUCAUCCACAUGACCAUCAGAAACAGUAUAAUCUAUUGCCUGCUCUAUUGUUUACCACUAUAGGAAAUGAUUUGGCUUUGCUCAUCUAUAUUGCUCCUCACGUAGUUAGCAGCUGCUCUUAGAUUCCUUCUGAACUAGCCUAGCUCCCUCAAAUUGUCCUUGUAGCUCUCGUGCUCCAGGUCUCUGACCAUCUUGGUAGCUUCACAGAGUUUUGUGUUUUUGGUUUUAAAUGUAAGCUGGAAGGAAGGUGGGCCAAGAUACUUAUAAUUGAGGCAAUGCAAGGAGAUCAGAGAGUCUUCCACUGAAGGAGUUCUAGCACAGCUUUGGGGCCUCAAGGAGUUUGCACGUCUCUGAAAGGAUGCUGGUAAGUGCAAGAGUGGAUUUACUGGGUAGGCUGGGAAAAUCCACCGUCCUUUCCCUUUUAGAAUUGCCCUAUCCAUCACACACACAAUGCUACAAGAUGAGGAGCCAGCCCAUAGCCCUUCUUCAUGUUACAGCUCCCUACAGCCCUGGAGCACUUGAAUUUAGAGGUCUCUGGGACUGUUCCUUGGCAGUGGAGCAUAACACACAUUGUGCUGUUAGUUCUGCCUUUCCAUUACAAACAUCCUUUGAGUUGCGUGUGACUUUGUCACACUUCAGCAAUUCAGCUUGACAUUUUCUAUGCCUUGGGCUGAUUUCUGGGUGUGAAGCUUUCACAAAACCCAUCCUUUCAGCCUGUGAACAUUAAGUGGCUUUGCCAGCAUCUCUUUUUAUUCUUUUUUCUUUUCUCUUUUUUUUUAAAUACGUUUUUCAGUUCUCAGGGCCAGAUUCUCAGCUGGUGUCUACAAUUCACAACCACUGUGUACCUACCUACCUGCUGCUGCUAUGUAAGCAAAUUGCAAACUGUGCAGAAAGCAUUAUGCUUUCGUGGUAUUGUAAAUUCUCAUUUAGGCAUGAGUCUUUUUUCCUUUCGUGAGUCAGGGCUUGCUUGGGCCCUGGCAAAGACCUCAGGUUCAUACUGUGUGAUGCAAAACCUGAGAGCUGGGCAGCAUCGUGUGGCAGAGUCUGACCCAGAUGUGGCACCAACAGUGCCAAGAUAGUGCUGACACUUGCGUGUUUCUGCAUGAUGCUCCAGGUCUCAGAGCUGAUGGGGUGUUUCAUUUGAACGACCUUUCCACAAGUGCUCAUUGAUAUUUUGUGCUUUCCUUACAACUUCCAUCUUGCUUUUUCUCCCAGAAAUUGAGGUGUAACACCUUUACCCAGAACUGGAUUGUCAGCCCAGGUUGUGUGGAUUCUCAGACACCAGAGGGAACUCCACCCAGGUUCUUACCAUCAUCCAAAUCCAGACUUUACCUUGCACGUGUCUCCCCAUGGGCUUGCACAUGGAUGACAGGAGAGUCUCAAUGACUGUAUAUCUGUUAACUUCUGACUUCGACUCUUCCAAGCACUAUUUUCCUUUCUUUUGUUCACCCCCUCAACUCAAAUGAGAUAUUUCUGCUCCAGCUCGUCCUGCCUAAGUGAUAUUCAUCUUCAUUGCAAAUAGCCAUGUGUCAUCUGUUAGAAAUAAUCUUGUCUAGGUGCGCACAGGACUUGAAAAAUGUGCUAAUAGUAAGCAGAUUCUCCUAUUAAAAUACACAUGUCCCAUGCAAGUUCAAACAGUUCAGUUUGCAUGUUCCAGGAAUGACAAAUAAAAGCAUGAUGACCAGGCCUGGUAAAGAAUUAGUUUCAAAGGCAGUCAUGGGGUCAGGGCUGUAGUGUGUUAAUUACCCACACGGGGCAGUACCUCUUUCUAAGAGGUUACUCUAUCAGUGUGAUGUACAUCAUAGAGCUGUAAACCUGAAAAGAAAUCAGGUUUCCACUGCCUAUGGUAACUUCUCCAAUGGCAUAAGGAAUAACUUUAUUUACUGUCACUUCAGAAGUAAUACAUUAAAGAUUUGCACGAUUUGAGUGCUGAUGGAGUGGCCUGAGGGCUGGGUUUGUUCUGAGGGCUCACUUCAUUCACAACACAGCCCCAGUAGGUUCUGGAGAGCUGGAAAGAGGAAAUCUAUCUAUUUCUGGGCUAACAUUUGGAGUAAGUCACCAACAAGGCAGAGAUGGGGGGACCUCAGCUAAGUUACCUUACUGAGGAACUCAGUUCUCUGAUCCAAGUCACUGCGAAAGGCAGUUCCCUUUGUGAACCCACUUCUAAGUGCCUUCCAGGAAUCACAGAGUCAUUGAGGUUGGAAAAUACCACUACGAUCCCCAGUUCUAACCCCAGCCCACCCCCACUGUGCCCACUGACCAUGUCCACUCCUUGACACUCAUAUCAAGAUGAAACCUCUUCAGGUGCAGCUUGUACCCAUUUCUUCUUGUUUUCUCCAUCUGGGUCCUUGUGCACUGGGAGUCUCCAACCUCUUUGUAGCCACCCUUUAAGUACUGGGAUAUGGUAAUGAGAUCCCUCCUGAGACUUCUCCAGGGUGAAAAGACAUAAAACCUGAAGUUUUUCAUAGAAUCGUAGAAUAGUCUGAGUUAGAAGGGACUCUUAAAGGCCAUCUGGUUCAACUCCCCUGCAAUAAACAGGGACACUUACAGCUCAGUGAGGCACUCAAAGCCCCAUCCAGCCUGACCUGUCUCCAGGGAUGGGGCAUCCACCACCUCUCUGGGCAACCUGUGCCACUGCUUCACUACUCUUACUGUAAAAAAAAAAUAUCCAACUUAACUCUGCCCUCUUUUAGUCUGCAACCAUUUCCCCUUGUCAUAUCACAACAGGAGCCUUCCUCAUAGAGGAGGUUCUCCAGGCUUUUGAACAUCUUUGUGGCCUUCCUUUGGGGUCUCUGUUUUUGUCCACAUCUUAUUGGAAUUGUGGGGACCAGAGCUGGACACAGGACUCCAUGUGUGGCAUAGGUCUCUCUCAGUGCCUGUUUCCCAGAUAUCCUUUGCAGCUCACUAGGACUCUGGAUCUGCCUCCUGUUCUGUAGUGGUUUUGGAGAUUUCUGGGUGCAGGCAUCUGUCCAUGUGAGUCCUGCUCAUGGAAGAGAUGUUCUGUCAUCGAGAUUCAUAGAGCCUCUCUUCAGCCCAUCACAAACAGAGACUUCCAAGGAGGUCAAUCUACAGUUCCUCCUCUUUGCCCAUGUGUUUCUCCCAGAGGAAUCCGCCAGUCAUCCAAUACAUAAAAGCCAUCAGCGAGAAGGUAUAAAUAUCUCAGAGCUGAAAAUCUAAGGCUUGCCCAUUUCUCCCUCCUUUCUCUCUUUCCAUAACUAAGCAAUAUUCAAGAGCAAUGCUGAAGCAGGCAAACAAUAUUUUCCUUUCAUCUCCCUGAGCGAUGAGCCAAGAAUGGAACCAUUCUCCUCUGUUUGCUGCUACCCAAGAUUGGUGACUAUACAAACGUGUCUCUGUCCUCAUGAAGAGGGCUCGGGCACCUGGCCCUGCUGCUGGCAGCAUCACACAAGCCUGCAUUGUAUCUGACUGGUAUUGCGGCUCGGUGCUGCCCAGAUAAAAGCCAUCCGAAGGAUCUGCUCUGCCUCAAAGGACCAGACGUGCCUGGAAAGUCAUGCCAAGAUUUCAGUGGAGGUGAAGGAGGUUGGUGCAUUUACUGAUUUUAUUUAGAAAGUGGUUGCUGUGCUGUAUUCAGAGUAUACCCUGUUUUUCAUCCUUCAUGGUGCAGUUCUACAGGUACUUCACUAUUAAAAUCUUUCCAGACUACAAAUGGCAUAAGUAUAGCAGAGCGUGCAGGGACAGAUGCUUAUCCUCCACCAGCUUCACACGAAGCACAGUGAAGUUAUUCAGAUCAGAGUUUGAAAAGGCAUCCAGAGCUCCCUUAGCAUUCCCUUUGAGUCACAGAAUGGCUCAGGUUGGAAGGUGACCUUAAAGAUCGUCUACACCCAACCCCCUGCCAUGGGUUGGUUCCUCCACACCAGACCAGGCUGCCCAGGGCCCCAUCCAAUCUGGCCUUGAGCACCUCCAGGAAUAGGACAUCCACAGCCUCUCUGGGCAACCUGUUCCAGCACCUCACAGCCCUUAGAGUAAAAAAUUUCUGCCUGCCAUCUAACCUAAAUCUCUCAUUUUAGUUUAAAGCCAUUCCCCCUUGUUGUGUCACUAUCAGACUGUGUAAGAAGUUGGUCCCCCUCCUGCCUGUAACCUCCCCUCAGGUACUGGAAGGCCACAACCAGGUCUCCCCAGAGUCUUCUCCAAGCUUUGGUCUUCCCACACUCUUCAAGUGAUGCUGAGAUUGAUGGAUGAGGGUUUUGGUGUGUUGCUUGUGGCCGUUGCAUGUACAGUAGACAUUAGGGGAUGGCAAAGCACUGCGAACACCUCCAGAUCUGGGAGGUACAAGGGCCAUGGUAGACCACCAGCCAGAAGUAAUUAACAGCCCCAAACCUUAAGUGCAUGGGUGGUAAAAUGACAGGGUUCUGUUUUAGCUACUUCUGUCAACUUUGAUUCCUUUCCACUUCUCAUAACAUCUAUUUUAGUCCCUUAUUCAGACAUCUUUCUUUUAAUGGGGCUCUCAAGAAGGCUCCCUCCUCUUCUUGUCAUACCAGACACUGGUAUGCCACCCACCAGAUCAGGCUCCCCAGGGCCCCACCCAUGGCCUUGGGUAUGUCCAAGGAUGAGGCAUCCACAGUUUCUUUGGACAGCCUGUGCCAGGGCCUCACCACCCUGAGCUGACAACUCAAGUACCCUUUGUCAUACUCAAAGAACGGCAACAGAUAAUUAUUUGGAGAAAGCAAGGUGCUAAAAGCGCAGUCAAAUUUUCUUUCUCAGCCAUAGAUCCUCUCUGGAAAAGAAACAAACAAAUAAAAUCACACACACAAUUUUUGGGGGGGGACUUCUACCAAAAGAUCACCUUUAGGUAUGGUUAGGAACAUAGUUUAGUGGGCAUGGUGGUGAUGGGUUGAUGGUUGGUUUGGAUGGUGUUAGUGGUCUUUUCCAACCACAACGAUUCUAUGAGUCAUGAUCAUGAGAAAUGCAUUUUGUCACUUUGUGAAUCAUGUUAACAUAUUGCCUUGAUCUUUUCCCCUACCUAUGUCUGCAUAUUCAAAAAUCAGAUAUCUACAAGAGAUUGCGGCCAUCAUCUAAUCCGCUGUAUUGUUUGUGCAGACAGCACUACUUAAAGCAGGAAUUCCUGCAUUGACCCUACAACUCGGUCUCUAGCUAAGAUCUUAUUUUUAGAAUGGCAUUCAGUCUUGAUUUAGGGACUUGAUGUGAUGAAGGACUCAUCACAUCUAUAGAUAAACAGUCCAAAGGGUACUUUAUGCUUCUUGUGAAAAAGGAAACGUGCCUUUACACAUCAGCCUCCUGCAUUUAUCUGGUCUCUGCUUCCAGUUGGUGGCACUUCUGAUGGCUGUGCAACUUCCCUUGAAAUCUACAGAGGACAUAGAUGUGCUGUUUGCAGGUUCUGGUGUUUCACAUUCAUUUAGAAAAAGCACAUGGAUGAAUAAGGGAUUUGGGGUCCUUAUUUAAAUGAUGCCUUCUUAAGCCUGAGUGAAAACAAGAAUCGUACCCCAGAUAUGCAGCCCUGUGUCUACUGGGCAAGGGGGAGCUAUGAAGUGCUUCAGUGGGGCAGACUGAGUGAGGGUGCUUUUGGAAACAGGUUAUCUCCAGGAGGAUGAGUGGUCAGAGCAGGCUGCAAACCUGCAGUGGGGAAUGCCAAAGCACCGAUCUUUUAAUUUUAAAUAAGCAUGAGCCUCACAGUGCUGUUUGUUUUAUUGCCACCAUGCGAGCCCCCACGCAUGGCUGUUGGGCACAGAAAGGGACUUUCCUACCCUUCCAUCCCCAUGAGGCUGGGCAAGUGGUGGGAACGUGCUGGACUGAAUGAUCCUCGUGGGUCCCUUCCAACUAGGGAUAUUCUACAGUUCAGUGAUUUUCUAUUAGGAG